AUGCGCCGAGCAGCAGCAGCGGCGAGCCCGAGGAGGAGCAGCUGCUGCAGAAGCUGUUGUCGCUCUACCGCGCCCGACAGGCCAAGCUGGUAUCCCGAGAAGCGCUUGUCGCGAAGGCGGGAGUGGACAUCGAGAAGCGCGCGGAGGAGCUCCAGGGGUCUCAGGCAGGAAGCUCUCCGGUCCCUGGCAGAGGAGCAGGAGCAAGUCGCCGAGGAGCGGAAAGCCUUCCUCCUCGAGAAGGCUGAAGUUGAAGAGCAGCAGCGGCUUGUUGCCGAAAAGCUAUCUGCGCAGGAAGGCGAGUUGGCGCAGCGCAAGGUCAACCUUGACAGCCACGAGGAGGAGCUUGCCGUGCGCGAGCAAACAUUCGGCGGGGCUCUCAAGGAAGCAGAGGAUGCUGCCGCAGCUGCCGAGGCCGCCAAGAAGGAGCUGGAGACAAAGGUGGCGCAGCUGGAGGCCGAUCUCAAGGUGAGCGGUGAGGAGCUUGCUGCGCUCAAGCAUGAGCGUGAGAAGGACGCCGCCGCUCAUGGCGAGCUGCAGGGUCGUCUCGCUGAGAGGAGCAAAGAGCUUAGCACCGCCAAGGAUUCCAACGCAGAUCUUGAGUUGAAGCUGGCUACUUUGACCAAGACGCUGGACGGCGCCAGGGAGCAGGAGGUGGCCUUGAAGGAGAAGAUCAAGACCGACGAGGCGCUGCUGGCGAAUGCUGCUGCCGCCCAGAACACUUUUAGGGAGAAUGUGGAGCACUGGACCGAGGGUCUCGUGGAUGUUGCCGCAGCCAUCGACGGGGAGCUGGCGCAGCUGGGGAUGGAGGAUCUCGGGUAUUCCUCUGACGAGCACCUCCAACCCAGCGCCAAGCUCAGCUUGUUCUUCAAAGGCGUGGCGACGGCCCUCCAGCGACUCCGGGAGAAGAUCCCAAAGCAGCUGGUCGACGAGUCGCGCAAGAUCUGCGCGGGAGCUCUUCAAAAGGUGCUGGUGAAGGUGGCCUUCCGCAACCCAGGCCUCAACCUCACCAACAUCCUCAGGACCUUGCCACCGGAUGCUGAUCUGGAAGCGCUCAAGACCCUUGUCGCACCCAUUGUGGACAAGGUGAGCAGGAUCAAGAGGGUUGAGGGCGAUCGCGUAGAUUAG
rnacentral:rRNA from 1 species